rnacentral:rRNA from 1 species
CACGUAGGGUGCGAGCGUUGUCCGGAAUUAUUGGGCGUAAAGAGCUCGUAGGCGGUUUGUCGCGUCGGCCGUGAAAUCUCCACGCUUAACGUGGAGCGUGCGGUCGAUACGGGCAGACUUGAGUUCGGUAGGGGAGACUGGAAUUCCUGGUGUAGCGGUGAAAUGCGCAGAUAUCAGGAGGAACACCGGUGGCGAAGGCGGGUCUCUGGGCCGAUAUUGACGCUGAGGAGCGAAAGCGUGGGGAGCGAACAGG